rnacentral:rRNA from 1 species
GACGAACGCUGGCGGCGUGCUUAACACAUGCAAGUCGAACGGAAAGGCCCCCACUUUUUUGGUGGGGGUGCUCGAGUGGCGAACGGGUGAGUAACACGUGGGUGAUCUGCCCUGUACUUCGGGAUAAGCUUGGGAAACUGGGUCUAAUACCGGAUAGGACCAUGGUUUAGUGUCUCAUGGUGGAAAAAUUAUUGUUUUGGUGCAGGAUGAGCUCGCGGCCUAUCAGCUUGUUGGUGGGGUACUGGCCUACCAAGGCGUCGACGGGUAGCCGGCCUGAGAGGGUGGACGGCCAAAUUGGGACUGAGAUACGGCCCAGACUCCUACGGGAGGAAGCGGUGGGGAAUAUUGCACAAUGGGCGCAAGCCUGAUGCAGCGACGCCGCGUGGGGGAUGACGGCCUUCGGGUUGUAAACUCCUUUCGUUAGGGACGAAGCCGCACCUUUUUUGGGUGUGGUGACGGUACCUUUGUUAAGAAGCACCGGCUAACUACGUG